rnacentral:rRNA from 1 species
CCUACGGGAGACAGCAGUGAGGAAUAUUGGUCAAUGGACGGAAGUCUGAACCAGCCAUGCCGCGUGCAGGAUGACGGCUCUAUGAGUUGUAAACUGCUUUUGUAUUAGGGUAAACACCCCUACGUGUAGGGGCUUGAAAGUAUAAUAAGAAAAAGGAUCGGCUAACUCCGUGCCAGCAGCCGCGGUAAUACGGAGGAUCCAAGCGUUAUCCGGAUUUAUUGGGUUUAAAGGGUGCGUAGGCGGUUUGAUAAGUUAGAGGUGAACUACCGGUGCUCAACACCGGAACUGCCUCUCAUACUGUUGUCCUUGUGCGUAGUUGCGGUAGGCGUAAUG